AAACAAACAAGCCCGUUUUUUUUCUAUUCAUUGAUUCAUUUCGAUUUCAUGUUUCACUGGGACGUGGCAAGUGCUAAAAUCUUUUACAUCCUUCGCAGUAGUCAAAUUGUUACAAGCGUGUGACGAAAGUCGUGAGGUUUGUCUGCAGUUACUUCCUCAAUUUUAAACACAAACAAACAAUUAGCCUAUACGAACCCCAUUAUAGACUUCAAACGUUCUUUCACUUAAAAGUACUAAUUAAAGAAUAGAUCCGACAAUAGUUUCGUUUAUCUAUUUCGUGUAUGACCUACACAUUUUUCGUACACACGCAGGAAUAGGCGAAGGAGAGGUGCGGCAAAGGAGACACACGCUGCAAGUUCGAUGACUUGACACAUAACACGCAUUGAUGUAGUCUUUUUAAAAAUGCUGCCUUCUUUUUAAACACAGGGUAACAGAAUAUUUCGUGGCUGUUGUUAUUUUUUGUCUGGUAUUUUCGGAACAUUGAAGAAAGAAUAAUGGAAACCGUUGUUUUCAAACUCGUUAUCAGUUAUGUAGUAGAAAUUGUUAAAAUGAUUAUUAGAAAGCUCGCUGUUUCACUGCUGAGCGAGCACUCGAACGUGAAUGUGCCCUCAAUUUUCUCAAACUGAUUCUCAUUAAAACAUUAUCUGGUGCAUUCGCAUGCGAUUAUUUGCUAACUAAACUCUCUUCGCUCCAGAAGGUCAUGUAAAACAAAAAUGGAGAUGAAACUACCAAAACACCUUUUCGUUUCGAAAUGGAUUAAAUACUGAACCCGAUUUCACAUACAGAACCCGUUAUACAAGUACUUCAAAAUGCCUUCCCAUUAAGAACGAGAAUGAUCUUUGACGCCUUUUGUGGAAUUUGAAUGAUUGGAUGAGUUGGCGGAAAUCUGGCUGCAUGAUCCCUCUUCGCAAACGGCGGUGGGAGAAAGUCAAGCCCAUAUAUCUUGCAAUAUGAGUCAAGGGCCGGAGUCAAGAGAGGCUAACGGCAUGCAGCUGAGCAGUACCUUCAAGUGCUCGCGUACUAGCUACUGAAGCCCGUUGGAUCUGAAACCACGACAAUAUGACACUUCAGAUAAAAAUCCACAAUCUUGUUUUUACA